CCGAGUUCAUGCCCUUACGGGUAGAUCUCCCACCCUGUGUUAUUAUUACCUUUGUUGCUUUGGCGGGCCGUCAGAUUUCGGUCAGGCUACCGGCUCCGGCUGGUAAGCGCCCGCCAGAGGACCCCAAACUCUGAAUAUUAGUGUCGUCUGAGUACUAUAUAAUAGUUA
rnacentral:misc_RNA from 1 species